AAGUCGUAACAAGGUCUCCGUAGGUGAACCUGCGGAGGGAUCAUUAACACGUGUAAAAACGUAUUACUAUACCUAACUAACCAAUACCGUGAACUAUGUUUUUAUUAUUAACAUUUUUUAUCUUUUUACUUGUUACUAUUUAACGAUAGUAAUGAGUGAAUUCUUAACCUUUUCCAAUUUCUUCUUUUUUUUUGUUAUUGUAUUGUAUAGUGUUCAUGGUAUUUUACUAUGAUACUGUAUGAUCAUACAUAUAAUGUAAAAAAAUCAAAAGCACAACUCUUAGCAACGGAUAUCUUGGUUCUC
rnacentral:misc_RNA from 1 species